rfam:Gossypium hirsutum cultivar TM-1 unplaced genomic scaffold scaffold944.1, whole genome shotgun sequence
CGUUAAAAUUUUCAUACAUUUUUACUAUUAAUAACUAGUGUGGUUGAUAAAAUAAUCAAAUAGUAACAUAUGGUGUGCCAUGUGUAUCUCAUGCUGACAUACAAGGACCAAUUUUUAAUAGUAUAAAUGAAUGAAGUUUUUAAUA